CACCGCGGUUAUACGAGUGACCCAAGUUGAUAGCCCACGGCGUAAAGAGUGGUUAAGGUGAAUUUUAUACUAAAGCCGAACGCCCCCCAUGCUGUUAUACGCAUACUGAGGAUAAGAAGUUCAAUGACGAAAGUAGCUUUACACCCCUGAACCCACGAAAGCUGAGGCA
rnacentral:rRNA from 1 species